AAUAAGCGGAGGAAAAGAAACUAACAAGGAUUCCCCUAGUAACGGCGAGUGAAGCGGGAAGAGCUCAAAUUUGUAAUCUGAUUGCCUUGCAGUCCGAGUUGUAAGCUAGAGAAGUGUUAUCUGCGCUGGACCACAUAUGAGUCUGUUGGAACAUAGUGUCAAAGAGGGUGAGAAUCCCAUUCGUGAUGUGGACUACCAGUGCUUUGUGUUACACUCUCAAAGAGUC
rnacentral:rRNA from 1 species